UUCCAUAUAACGAGUCAAAAAGCCAUGGACCCUCUUUUUCAACCUAACUUUCUGUUAUGUUGUGUACUGCUCUGCUAUUGCCGUUACUCUUUUCCAACUCUUCUCAUUUCUAAUCUCUCUCGCCUUCGCCGGAGAUUUCUCUCGUCAUUUCCUGCCGCCACAAUUUCCGCCGCUAAGAAUGCCACAGCCAAGGCUUCCCAUACUAAAGAGGAAGAUUAUCUCAACGCGGUAAUCAAAGAUCGAAUCCAAUUGUUCGAAUCCAACAAAGAACAGCAAAUCCCGCGCUUUCAAUCGCUCGAGCACGACACAAUUAAGUAAGACUAACAAAAUUAACAAAACUCCACUUCUUUCAUUGCUAAUGCAUCGAAGUUUUCGUUUAAUUAAUUUGAAUUGUAAUUAUUUAGUUUGUUUUUGUAGGAUUAGCUUUGGGAUAUGAAUAGGUUUGUUUUUCCAUUUUUUCUCCGUCUCUCUUCCUUAAUUUCACUUUUUAGCAAAGUUAAUCCAAGUGUUUGUAGAAAUGUCUCAAUGAAACUUGCUGUCAAUUCAGUACUAUUACUAUCCUAGCAUUUCACAUCUUGAAUUUAGAAGUGUAUUGAUCUAUAAAUUUUUAGGUUUUAGAAGUGUAUUGAUCCAUAAUAUUUUAGGUUUUAGAACUGUAUUCAUCUGUAAUCUGUAUACUUGAUUAAUAAUGGAAUUGAUUAAUGAUAUUUGUGGUUUCGUUUUGUGCUAAAAAAUUAUCUGAGUGUACAUGUUUAUCCUUAUCGUCAAUUUUUUAAUUAGAUACUGAUUUCACUGUCGGCUGUUCAAGCAACUACAAUUACUUGCUUCGACUCAUAUAUCUUCUUGCUCUUUAUUUCAGGGCGAGAGAGGGGGAGCUGCAGCCAAACACCGCUGCUCGCUGCCGGAGUCGAUAUUGACGCUAAUGCUGACGCCAAAGACCUGCUCGUUGCUGAUGUCGAUAUCGACGUCGUUGUUGACGCAAAAGCCUGUGCUCGCUGCCGACGCGAAAGGCGGUGCUUGAUGCCAACGACGAUGUUAAGGCCAUCGCUCAGAUGGUUACGUAGGUUUAACUGUAAAAUUAAUUGUUUGUUUGCAUUUGUUUUAUUUGAUGUUAAUUAGGUUUAACUGUAAUUCUUUUAUAUUUGGUUUAAUUUAGAUGGUUAAAUCCUUUCUAUGUGAGGAAAGGAUUAAAAAGAUAUGAUUCGCAUUGAAGAAGACCACCAAGUUUUAAGGUGUAAAAAUGAAAUCUCUAUAUGUGGGCAAACAUUUUGAUAAAAAUAUAAAUAUCUUUUGGAAUUAAUGUAUGGUAUAAGCUCAAGGUCAUUAUGCUGGACUAUAUGCGUGAUUGUACUAUCUGUGGGUUAUUUGACCUGUAGGUCAUGCUUGUGUGUUGGAGUGAUAAUCUAAACUUGAGUUUUAUAUGAGGGUUGAUACAGCUCUAUAUUAGCUGCUUAUGUUCUUUGAACUAAUACUAUCUACCUAUAUGUUUAUUUUUUUAUGGCUGCUUGGUCAUUUUAAGUGAUUCAUUUGUUGUAUAUUGUAGGUGUUUUGGAGAACAUCUCCUUAUGCCCCUUUUUGUGUGUACAAUUUUUGUAUUAUUGAAAGCUUUAUUUUAUGGAAAGCUUUAUUUUAAAACUGGAGCAUGGUCUCGUAUAUUCAAGAUCAUCGAUCUCGGAGCUGCUGCAAAUUUAUGGGUCGGAAUCAACUAUAUUCCAAAUGAGUUUCUUUUGGAUCCAAGGUUGAUUGGGGAUCAUUAUAUAAAUGUAACGGCGGAGGAAAAAUUGACCAUGAUUUAGCCUAAUUUUUUUUACAAAUGGCAUUUUCAGAAAAGGUAUAUAGUUCCUUCGGAAAGAAAAAGAUGGGUUUAAUUUAUAUGAAUUCUACUCCGGCGCCUGUGGAUGCUUUUCAGAUAUUUGAUGGCAACUGGCUUUUGUUGAGCUCCAAAACAAUGGAAGUGAUGCUUUUUCCACUGUUAUAGGUGAGAGGCCUCCCGGUUGUGCACUUCUUUAUGGAAGAGGGGUUACGAUAAGCAAUUUGAAGAACAAAGAAGGAAGCAGUUCUUCAAUAAUUUUGAUGGAAUAUUUUCCGUUUUUGGUGAAUAUUUUUUGUUUUUGGUGUAAAGAAUGAAAUAUUUUUGUGAUGUAAUAGAUGAAUGGAGUAUUUUCGUGAUGUAAUGGAUGAAAUAUUUUUCGAUUUUGACUUUAAUCAAUAUUUUCCGUUUUUUAA